rnacentral:sRNA from 1 species
GCUGACUCUCUUUUCAGACUCAGCCCACUUGCACCCAAGUGAAUUAACAGCCUUGUUGCUCACACAAAGCCUGUUUAGGUGGUCUUCUAUAUGGACAUGCUUGACACUUGGUGCCAAAAUCUGGGCCAGGGGGACUCCUUCGUGAGACCGGCCCCCUGUCCUGGCCCUCACUCCGUGAAGAGAUCCACCUGCGACCUCGGGUCCUCAGACCAGCCCAAGGAACAUCUCACCAAUUUCAAAUCGGAUCUCCUCGGCUUAGUGGCUGAAGACUGAUGCUGCCCGAUCGCCUCAGAAGCCCCCUGGACCAUCACAGAUGCCGAGCUUCGGGUAACUCUUACGGUGGAGGAUUCCCAGCCAUAUGAAGACACCCUAGCUGGACGAUCAGUCCUUGUCAAAAGUCUGACCCCUCAAACUCUACAGCCUCAAUGGACCAGACCCUACCCGGUCAUUUAUAGCACACCAACUGCCGUCCAUCUGCAGGACCCUCUCCAUUGGGUUCACCAUUCCAGAAUAAAGCCAUGCCCAUCAGACAGCCAGCUUGAUCUCUCCUCUUCCUCCUGGAAGCCACAAGAUUAGGCCGAGAGCCGAUCAGACAAACAACCUACAACCCUUAAGCUCCUGGCAGCGCCCAGCCAAGGCCAUGCUUCCAUGCAACACUCCUUCCAAAUGGCCAUCCCAGCAUGCUUCCAAGCAGGCUUCAUCCGUUCCUCUGGACCCUCAUCUCUUAAGACCUGCCGCCUAUAAAAAGGAUUAUAUCUUGAGACCCUAUCCUCUAAAAUUUUUUCCACACCCAAAACAAAAAAUCUCUGGGUCAAAAGUCUAAAACGCUUAGGCUGGCAACCAUCAGAUCCUUGCCCAUGGUGUCCUCAAGCCUACUCUCAUGAAAUGGACAACAGUACACGCAUAUGGGGCCAGUUCCACAUAUUUGGCAACCAGACCAGCAUCCAGGACAACACAAAGUAUGUUGUUUGUUGUUAGAGGGCUUGGGACAUUUCACUCUUUGCCAGCCUCAGCUUAAUCCAGGAGACAAAGAUUAUUUUCCUUAUUAUCUCUUCUGCAUAGGAUCUGCAAUCAGAACUAUUGAACUUCUCCAUUCAGACCGCCACUCACACCUAUGGGAAAAGGGUAAUGUAUCAUCGGCUUAGCAACAGGGAAUACUAUUCGUAUGAUGGAAAAUGGGGACAAAAGGCUUUGGUACAUAAAACAUUAUUCCUUCCUUGGCCUAAAAACUCAUCGCCACCUACAUUAAAGCUAAUAUGCCUGA